AGGUGCUUUAUUUCCUUCCUUUUUUUGCUGAUAAUCAUGUUCUACUUCAUUUGGAGAAGAAUGGUCAGACACAAGAUUUAUCUAGUGUUCAAGAACCCUUUCAUCUGCAUGCAUAAAAUUAAAAAGAGAGGAGAAAUCUGGUCUGUGGGAUGAAGCAAAUAAAUACAGGGCAACGUGUGCGUGACCCACGAUCCAGUCGUGUCGAGUGGGGGACCUGGUGUGCCUUCAGUGGAAACAGCCUCUAAAAUACAUCUACAAUCAUGACAGAGAAGUGUAUCCUCUUCCCCAAUGAAGUUGUCCUCAUUUCCAGCAUGUGAAGUUUGGAAGCCUGAUCCUCUGAGAAGCUGCAGUUCAUGGCCCUUGGGCUGACAAUGAGAAUUUGGACACUUCUGCCUACUUUUGCCUAAGCCUGGAGCA